rnacentral:lncRNA from 10 species
GCGUCAUGUGCUGGCUGUGCAGUUUGCCCCCUUUGAAGCAUUUACAGAUGCUUUUAGGAGUCUCUUUAGAAAGAAAAUGGUUGGUGGUCAUGGUGGGGGAGGGGUUGGAAAUCCCUCAGCAGCCAGAAGAUGGUCUCUGAAUAAUUCAGGACACACCGCGGGGCACUGCUAAUACCAGCUCUCCCAGGGCCGGGAAGCCUGGAUUCUUUACAUCAGCAACAGACUGGAUGGAGGCAGGAGGCAGUGCGGACCAGAGAGAGGAGUUGUUGCCCGCAGGGUGCCCUUUGAAGACUGCCUUUGCCACCAUCUGCAGCGCGUGGGGCAAGAUAUUAGAAUGGCAUCAGUGUUUGCUUUCACUAAGAGGAAGCGGAGUCCUGGGAGAAAGAGCCGCAGCCUGUGAUUGCACAGCCUUCCCUUGAUGGUACCUUUACCCUGGCAUGUGAGCUAUCAGCCGACUGGGGAUGCUUUCAAAUGAGACAGGAAACAGUUUAGGUGACAAUGAGAAACUCUGGUCUCAGUGGGAUGGAAAUAGAGCCUGGAAGAAAUGGGAAACUUUAAUAUCUGGAUGGAUUCCUUAAACAGCAUCCCCCUGAAGUAAAAGCUUGAAAAAUAAAGUCCACCUGGGUGGUGACUGUCAAGACAGGCCCUGCCCCGUGGGCACUGGCUGAGGAAUUUGGUGUAUUCCACACAUGCCGGAGUUUCCAAGGAGGAAACGUGUUUGAAGUCCAAAGAACAAGGACGGCCUCUGCUUGCUAAUCAGGUGGUAAGACUGUAAUUCCAGAGAGGGUCCUGCCACAUACCCAGAAGGAA